AAACCGUGCAAAGGUAGCAUAAUCACUUGUCCCCUAAAUAGGGACUAGUAUGAAUGGUCAAAUGAGGACUAAACUGUCUCUUGCAUUUAACCAAUAAAACUGAUCUCUCAGUUAAAAAGCUGAGAUAUAAACAUAAGACGAGAAGACCCUGUGGAGCUUCAAACCAAGCCCAACCCUAAUGGGUGUUCGGUUUUUAGUUGGGGCGACUUCGGAGUACAAAAAAACCUCCGACACAACCAUAUCAAGACCAACACGUCAACAUAUGUUUUUACUGACCCGGUAUUUAAUAAAAUAUCCGAUCAAUGAACCAAGUUACCCCAGGGAUAACAGCGCUAUCCCCUUCUAGAGUCCUUAUCGACAAGGGGGUUUACGACCUCGAUGUUGGAUCAGGACACCCAAAUAGUGCAGCCGCUAUUAAAGGUUCGUUUGUUCAACGAUUAAUAGUCCUACGUGAUCUGA
rnacentral:rRNA from 1 species